rnacentral:rRNA from 1 species
GGGUUGUGAGGUUAAGCGACUAAGCGUACACGGUGGAUGCCCUGGCAGUCAGAGGCGAUGAAGGGCGUGCUAAUCUGCGAUAAGCGCCGGUAAGGUGAUAUGAACCGUUAUAACCGGCGAUACCCGAAUGGGGAAACCCAGUGUGAUUCGUCACACUAUCAUUAACUGAAUCCAUAGGUUAAUGAGGCGAACCGGGGGAACUGAAACAUCUAAGUACCCCGAGGAAAAGAAAUCAACCGAGAUUCCCCCAGUAGCGGCGAGCGAACGGGGAGGAGCCCAGAGCCUGAAUCAGCAUGUGUGUUAGUGGAAGCGUCUGGAAAGGCGCGCGAUACAGGGUGACAGCCCCGUACACAAAAGCGCAUGUGCUGUGAGCUCGAUGAGUAGGGCGGGACACGUGGUAUCCUGUCUGAAUAUGGGGGGACCAUCCUCCAAGGCUAAAUACUCCUGACUGACCGAUAGUGAACCAGUACCGUGAGGGAAAGGCGAAAAGAACCCCGGCGAGGGGAGUGAAAAAGAACCUGAAACCGUGUACGUACAAGCAGUGGGAGCACAGGUUUACCUGUGUGACUGCGUACCUUUUGUAUAAUGGGUCAGCGACUUAUAUUCUGUAGCAAGGUUAACCGUAUAGGGGAGCCGAAGGGAAACCGAGUCUUAACCGGGCGUUAAGUUGCAGGGUAUAGACCCGAAACCCGGUGAUCUAGCCAUGGGCAGGUUGAAGGUUGGGUAACACUAACUGGAGGACCGAACCGACUAAUGUUGAAAAAUUAGCGGAUGACCUGUGGCUGGGGGUGAAAGGCCAAUCAAACCGGGAGAUAGCUGGUUCUCCCCGAAAGCUAUUUAGGUAGCGCCUCGUGAAUUCAUCUCCGGGGGUAGAGCACUGUUUCGGCUAGGGGGCCAUCCCGGCUUACCAACCCGAUGCAAACUGCGAAUACCGGAGAAUGUUAUCACGGGAGACACACGGCGGGUGCUAACGUCCGUCGUGAAGAGGGAAACAACCCAGACCGCCAGCUAAGGUCCCAAAGUCAUGGUUAAGUGGGAAACGAUGUGGGAAGGCCCAGACAGCCAGGAUGUUGGCUUAGAAGCAGCCAUCAUUUAAAGAAAGCGUAAUAGCUCACUGGUCGAGUCGGCCUGCGCGGAAGAUGUAACGGGGCUAAACUAUGCACCGAAGCUGCGGCAGCGACACUAUGUGUUGUUGGGUAGGGGAGCGUUCUGUAAGCCUGUGAAGGUGUGUCGUGAGGCAUGCUGGAGGUAUCAGAAGUGCGAAUGCUGACAUAAGUAACGAUAAAGCGGGUGAAAAGCCCGCUCGCCGGAAGACCAAGGGUUCCUGUCCAACGUUAAUCGGGGCAGGGUGAGUCGACCCCUAAGGCGAGGCCGAAAGGCGUAGUCGAUGGGAAACGGGUUAAUAUUCCCGUACUUGGUGUUACUGCGAAGGGGGGACGGAGAAGGCUAUGUUGGCCGGGCGACGGUUGUCCCGGUUUAAGCGUGUAGGUGUGUGUUCCAGGUAAAUCCGGUUCACUUUAACACUGAGGCGUGAUGACGAGGCACUACGGUGCUGAAGCAACAAAUGCCCUGCUUCCAGGAAAAGCCUCUAAGCAUCAGGUAACAUCAAAUCGUACCCCAAACCGACACAGGUGGUCAGGUAGAGAAUACCAAGGCGCUUGAGAGAACUCGGGUGAAGGAACUAGGCAAAAUGGUGCCGUAACUUCGGGAGAAGGCACGCUGACACGUAGGUGAAGUGAUUUACUCAUGGAGCUGAAGUCAGUCGAAGAUACCAGCUGGCUGCAACUGUUUAUUAAAAACACAGCACUGUGCAAACACGAAAGUGGACGUAUACGGUGUGACGCCUGCCCGGUGCCGGAAGGUUAAUUGAUGGGGUCAGCGCAAGCGAAGCUCCUGAUCGAAGCCCCGGUAAACGGCGGCCGUAACUAUAACGGUCCUAAGGUAGCGAAAUUCCUUGUCGGGUAAGUUCCGACCUGCACGAAUGGCGUAAUGAUGGCCAGGCUGUCUCCACCCGAGACUCAGUGAAAUUGAACUCGCUGUGAAGAUGCAGUGUACCCGCGGCAAGACGGAAAGACCCCGUGAACCUUUACUAUAGCUUGACACUGAACAUUGAGCCUUGAUGUGUAGGAUAGGUGGGAGGCUUUGAAGUGUGGACGCCAGUCUGCAUGGAGCCGACCUUGAAAUACCACCCUUUAAUGUUUGAUGUUCUAACGUGGACCCGUGAUCCGGGUUGCGGACAGUGUCUGGUGGGUAGUUUGACUGGGGCGGUCUCCUCCUAAAGAGUAACGGAGGAGCACGAAGGUUGGCUAAUCCUGGUCGGACAUCAGGAGGUUAGUGCAAUGGCAUAAGCCAGCUUGACUGCGAGCGUGACGGCGCGAGCAGGUGCGAAAGCAGGUCAUAGUGAUCCGGUGGUUCUGAAUGGAAGGGCCAUCGCUCAACGGAUAAAAGGUACUCCGGGGAUAACAGGCUGAUACCGCCCAAGAGUUCAUAUCGACGGCGGUGUUUGGCACCUCGAUGUCGGCUCAUCACAUCCUGGGGCUGAAGUAGGUCCCAAGGGUAUGGCUGUUCGCCAUUUAAAGUGGUACGCGAGCUGGGUUUAGAACGUCGUGAGACAGUUCGGUCCCUAUCUGCCGUGGGCGCUGGAGAACUGAGGGGGGCUGCUCCUAGUACGAGAGGACCGGAGUGGACGCAUCACUGGUGUUCGGGUUGUCAUGCCAAUGGCACUGCCCGGUAGCUAAAUGCGGAAGAGAUAAGUGCUGAAAGCAUCUAAGCACGAAACUUGCCCCGAGAUGAGUUCUCCCUGAGACUUAAAGUCUCCUGAAGGAACGUUGAAGACGACGACGUUGAUAGGCCGGGUGUGUAAGCGCAGCGAUGCGUUGAGCUAACCGGUACUAAUGAACCGUGAGGCUUAACCUUACAACGCCGAAG